GAUGGCAAGGUAGCUUUAUGUUUGAAAUGUAAUCUAAACUGAGACCAUAUUUUAAGUGUUGCACUCACUACUGGAUUAUUGGUUAAAUACUUUUUACUAAAAGGCGCUGGAGCGCACACCAAUGUUGCUAAACUGCCAAGAGGACAUGCACUUUGCUCCAUCAAUGCCCAUACUGGUUGACUCUGAGUAGGUGACAUCCAGAAUUGGAUUUUAUGGACAUUGGCGGCCCAGUAGUAGUUAAUAAAGUUUGGGAGACCCAAACCUCCUUCGUUCUUAUGCCUUUGCAAAAACUCUUUCCUGAUUCGUGGAACUGUUUUGUUCCAAAUAAAGGAGGAUAUGAGCUUAUCUAAAUCUUUAAAGUAUGCCUUGGGAAUAAACACAGGUAGAGUCUGAAACAAAAACAAACAUUUUGGUAGAACAGUCAUUUUAACGGAGUUAACUCGCCCUGCCAAUGAUAAAGGCAAAGAGGCCCAGCUGGACAGGUCACUCUUUGUGCUAUCUAACAAGGCCCUAAAGUUUUUUUUGAACAGAUCUUUAAAGUUACUCCUCACUGUAACACCUAAGUAAGUGAAGCUAUCACGUAUUACUUGAAAUGGAUAUGAGCCAAGAGACAUCCGUCUAGCCUGCUUAUUCCUAGGGAAAAUCAAGCUUUUGGUCAGAUUUACUUUAUAACCAGAUAUCCUCCCAAACUCUGAUAUUAUUUGCAGUACUUCAGGCAAGGAGCUAUUUGGGUUCGAAAGGAAAAACAUUGAGUCAUCGGCCUACAUUGAAACCUCAUGUACACAAUCCCCUCUCUUUACCCCUGUGACUAACGGAGAUCCCCUAAUUGCAACAGCAAGUGGCUCAAUGGCAAUGCCAAAGAGCAGGGGGGAUAGAGGACAUCCCUGCCUGGUGCCUCUACAAAUGGGGAAAUAUUCUGACAACAUCUUAUCAGUUCGCACAGCAGCCUGAGGGGCAGUAUGAAGUAUUUUAACCCAGGCUUGAAACAUAGGGCCAAACCUAAACUUAUCCAGUACCUUAUAUAAAUAAUUGUGUUCAAUACGGUCGAAUGCUUUCUGUGCAUCUAAUGAAAUUAGUACUUCUGGGACAGGGGAUACAUCAGAGGAAUAGAGUAAAUUAAACAAUCUCCGCGAAUUGCUAGACAAAUGUCUACCCACCACAAAUCCUGUCUGAUCUACAUGUAUAAUUUUGGGCAAAACAGAUUCAAGUCUAAGGGCAAGUAUUUUUGUGAGUAUUUUAUAGUCACACCCUAAUAAACUUACUGGCCUGUAAGAGCCACACUGUAAAGGAUCCUUAUUCUUCUUAAGCAACACAGAUAUUAUAGCUUGGAUCAUUGUGGGAGGUAAAGCAUUUAUUAAAACACUCUUCAUACACUUCUAAUAGGAUUGGGGCCACUUUUGCUGAAAAUUUCUUAUAAAACUCAAUGGGAAAACUAUCGGGUCCUGGGGCUUUACCUGAUUUUAGACAUGUUAUUACACUAACAAUUUCCUCCAAGCUAAUAGGUUGGUCCAAAGCUACUUUAUCUGACUCCUCUAUGCCCUUCAUCUCCAAUCUAUCUAACAUCUGGGUUAUUGUGCUAUCACUAGCCAUCUCACAAGUAUACAGAUUCUUAUAGAAUUGCGUGAAUUGCUUAUUUAUUUGCCCCAGAUCACAAGUAACUGUACCAUCAUCCAAUGCCAUUUCUGUAAUUUGACUUGCAGAGACAGAUUUCCUAAGCUGAUGACGUAAUAGCUUGCCUGCCCUUUCCCCAUGUUCAUAAUGCUCACUGCGGGACCGCAUAUAUAGGUCCUGCAUUUGGCUCGUUGACAUAAUAUCAUAUUCUGUUUGUAGCAGAAGCCUCUCCUUGUGAAGGUCAGGUGAGAGUGCAGAGGCUGUUGCCUGCGCUGUCGAUCAAUUUCCUUUAUCUUGUCCUGCAAUUCUUUCUGACGCGCAGAUAAUCUCUUGUUCUCGCUUGCUGUGUAUGAAAUAAUUAUACCUCUAAUGUAUGCCUUCAUAGUCUCCCACAACAUGCAUCUGCCCACUUCUGGGGAAUUAUUAGUUUGUAGGAAAAAAUCUAUUUGAUCAGACAGAUAUCUAACAAAGUCGUCAUUUGAAAGCAAACGUGGGUUUAAGCGCCAGACACGCUGAGGUGACACCUGCCCUGGGAAGCUAAGCAUCAUAUUAACUGGGCCAUGAUCAGAAAUAACAAUAGCUUCAUAACUGAUCGAUCUAAACAUAGGCAGCAAUGAAUCAUCUAUAAGAAAGUUAUCUAUCCUGGAGUAUGAUUGGUGUACAGGGGAAAAAAAGGAAAAAGCUUUAGAACGCGGGUUAUGGUGUCUCCAUGGGUCGGUAACUCCAUAUACUUGCAUAAAAGAAUUUACUGCCUGGGCCGCCUUGCUAAUAAUUUUACUGGUAGGGUUAGAGCGGUCUAAAUUAGGACACAAAACACAAUUGAAAUCGCCCCCUAGUAUCAGUUUGUGUGAGUCCAAAGCUGGAAGUUGUGAAAAAAACUGUUGAAAAAAACCUGCAUCAUCCCAGUUGGGUGCAUAGACAUUGGCUAGCACAGCAGGUGUGCCAAAUAAUUUCCCUUUAAUUAUUACAAAUCUACCAUUUCUAUCUGAGAUAACCUCACUCUCUGAGAACUGAACUCCAGUAUGAAUUAAGAUGGCAACACCUCGGGAUUUGCAAUUAAACUUAGAAUGGUACACCCCUGAGUAACCUUUCUUAUGGAGUCUGCCAUUAUCU